UUAGUGAGAUUUUACCAAGUCACAUUCGUAUGCCGUUAAAUGUGUCAACGGUAUCAACUAUAAAAAGAAGGUGCCAUUUGCGGCAUGCCAUAAACAAUCUAAAUCUGUAUAGACCAUAUUUUAAAUUUUAUAAGAGGUCGCACUUGGUGCGAUAGCAAGUGCCUUCGCCCAUGAGCGGUAGGUCUCGGGUUCGAGAAUUGGGAACAGCCUCUCCAUAAAUGAGGGUAAGGCUAGCCGACAUUCACCUCUCCCAGACCCUGCGUAAAGCGGGAACCUUGUGCACUGGUACGACCUUUUUUUUAUAAGAGUGCCUUCCCAUUCACGCAAUUAAAGCAUGAACAAGCAAUGAGAGUUUGCUUCCUAAAAUUCCCAAAAUUACAUGGCCACAAGAGACUCAUAACCACGAAAUGCGACUGACCUACUGACCUACUAACUACAUAAGAAGAUCGAACGAA
rnacentral:lncRNA from 1 species